UACGAAGGGGGCUAGCGUUGCUCGGAAUUACUGGGCGUAAAGCGCACGUAGGCGGUUUCUUAAGUCGGGGUGGAAAUCCUGGAGCUCAACUCCAGAACUGCCUUCCUGAUACUGGGAAACUUGAGUCCGGGAGAUGGUGAGUGGAACUGCGAGUGUAGAGGUGAAAUUCGUAGAUAUUCGCAAGAACACCAGUGGCGAAGGCGGCUCACUGGCCCGGUACUGACGCUGAGGUGACG
rnacentral:rRNA from 1 species